rnacentral:rRNA from 1 species
GGGGAAUAUUGCACAAUGGGCGAAAGCCUGAUGCAGCGACGCCGCGUGAGUGAUGAAGUAUUUCGGUAUGUAAAGCUCUAUCAGCAGGGAAGAAAAUGACGGUACCUGACUAAGAAGCUCCGGCUAAAUACGUGCCAGCAGCCGCGGUAAUACGUAUGGAGCAAGCGUUAUCCGGAUUUACUGGGUGUAAAGGGAGUGUAGGCGGUCUAAAAAGUCUGAUGUGAAAACCCGGGGCUCAACCGCGGGAUUGCAUUGGAAACUUUUAGACUAGAGUAUCGGAGAGGCAAGCGGAAUUCCUGGUGUAGAGGUGAAAUUCGUAGAUAUCAGGAAGAACAUCGGUGGCGAAGGCGGCUUGCUGGACGACAACUGACGCUGAGGCUCGAAAGCGUGGGAAGCGAAC